rnacentral:rRNA from 1 species
AUUGAACGCUGGCGGCAGGCUUAACACAUGCAAGUCGAGCGGGGUGAUGGUGCUUGCACUAUCACUUAGCGGCGGACGGGUGAGUAAUGCUUAGGAAUCUGCCUAUUAGUGGGGGACAACAUCUCGAAAGGGAUGCUAAUACCGCAUACGUCCUACGGGAGAAAGCAGGGGAUCACUUGUGACCUUGCGCUAAUAGAUGAGCCUAAGUCGGAUUAGCUAGUUGGUGGGGUAAAGGCCUACCAAGGCGACGAUCUGCAGCGGGUCUGAGAGGAUGAUCCGCCACACUGGGACUGAGACACGGCCCAGACUCCUACGGGAGGCAGCAGUGGGGAAUAUUGGACAAUGGGGGGAACCCUGAUCCAGCCAUGCCGCCUGUGUGAAGAAGGCCUUAUGGUUGUAAAGCACUUUAAGCGAGGAGGAGGCUCUUUUAGUUAAUACCCAAGAUGAGUGGACGUUACUCGCAGAAUAAGCACCGGCUAACUCUGUGCCAGCCGCCGCCGUAA